GCAAUGGGGGAAACCCUGACGCAGCAACGCCGCGUGAGUGAUGAAGGCUUUCGGGUCGUAAAGCUCUGUCAAGUGGGAAGAACNUGCAGUAUGUUAAUAUCNUANNGCNCUGACGGUACCNNCGAAGGAAGCACCGGCUAACUCCGUGCCAGCAGCCGCGGUAAUACGGGGGGUGCAAGCGUUAUUCGGAAUCAUUGGGCGUAAAGAGCGCGUAGGCGGCCUGGUAAGUCAGAUGUGAAAGCCCGGGGCUUAACCCCGGAAGUGCAUUUGAUACUGUCAGGCUUGAGUAUGGGAGAGGGAAGUGGAAUUCCUGGUGUAGAGGUGAAAUUCGUAGAUAUCUGGAGGAACACCGGUGGCGAAGGCGACUUCCUGGACCAAUACUGACGCUGAGGUGCGAAGGCGUGGGUAGCAAACAGGAUUAGAUACCCUGGUAGUCCACGCAGUAAA
rnacentral:rRNA from 1 species